GAUGAACGCUGGCGGCGUGCCUAAUACAUGCAAGUCGAGCGAACAGACGAGGAGCUUGCUCCUCUGACGUUAGCGGCGGACGGGUGAGUAACACGUGGAUAACCUACCUAUAAGACUGGGAUAACUUCGGGAAACCGGAGCUAAUACCGGAUAAUAUAUUGAACCGCAUGGUUCAAUAGUGAAAGACGGUUUUGCUGUCACUUAUAGAUGGAUCCGCGCCGCAUUAGCUAGUUGGUAAGGUAACGGCUUACCAAGGCGACGAUGCGUAGCCGACCUGAGAGGGUGAUCGGCCACACUGGAACUGAGACACGGUCCAGACUCCUACGGGAGGCAGCAGUAGGGAAUCGUCCGCAAUGGGCGAAAGCCUGACGGAGCAACGCCGCGUGAGUGAUGAAGGUCUUCGGAUCGUAAAACUCUGUUAUUAGGGAAGAACAAACGUGUAAGUAACUAUGCACGUCUUGACGGUACCUAAUCAGAAAGCCACGGCUAACUACGUG
rnacentral:rRNA from 1 species